UUAUAAUUUUUUUCUAAAUUAAUAUGGUUUUGCUGAAUUGUCAAGUUUUUAGUGGUGCAGUGACUUGUGCUUUAUAGGAUAAAUAAUUAAAGAAAAAAAGAACAAAAACAAACCCAGGCGAAACGCGUAUCGAAUUUUUCUUAAGAUUGUAUUUAUCAUGGCCGAUUUUGAGAGGUUGUGUUUGAGUAUUUUUCUUGGGCUCAUUCUUCUAUCCCUUCCACAUGCAACAUCUAUGGACCUUACAAAAGAAGCAGAAAACGGAUGCCUUUGUCCUUGCCCGUGUAACCCAUUGCCUACAAAAGAAUACGCCCCACCUGAUGGUUGGUGGAUUGUCUCUCUGGUAUCCAUUUUUGCUGUCAUAACAGUGACGUUUUGCUUGUCACAACUGAUAUAUGCAGUACGUCCAGCUCCAGCUCCAGCAGAAACAUUGGAAGUGAAAAACAAAAACAUGGAAAAGUAUGACUGAGGAAUACUAUGCACGAAGUUCCUAUCUUUAGAAGAAGAAUCUAAAUCCUCCUCAUCAUAUGCUUUUUAAAAGAGCUUGUCAUGGAAGUAUCUUUUGGUGGAAACAAAACAUUUGUCAUCUUCGAACUCAAUCAUGUGUCAUUUUUGAAUCGCUUACCAUCAUUUCUCCUUUACCUACGCUUUUGUAGAAAUCUCUAUUGCUGGGAUUCUUUUCUUUAAGAAGAUUUAAAAGUUAUAUGA